rnacentral:piRNA from 1 species
UGCCAUGGUGCCUCCUUGUACCUUGGAUGUA